CCACCUGAUUUCCAUUCCGAACUCAGAAGUGAAACGAAUUAGCGCCGAUGGUAGUGUGGGGCUUCCCCAUGUGAGAGUAGGACAUCGCCAGGC
rnacentral:rRNA from 2 species